AAAAUUCCAAUUUCAAGUUGGUGCGCGUAAAACAUUGAUACUACGUUAUUCUGAGUUCUAAUUGGUGAAAAAUUAAUUGCAAUAUUCUAAAUAUCAAUUAUAGGCACGAUGUUUGGCAUUUAAAAAACAGGUCUGUAAAGUAAGGUGUUGCAAGGCUUAUUCAUGUGUCACUAAACAAUCCGUUUUUAGUUUACUUUUCAUUUCCUUUUCAGUGAACUUUACUAGCAAACAUGACUAACGUCAUUGAAGUGAAAGUCGAUGACAACCCCCUUCUUGCACAAAUACUGCAACUCGCUUAAGAAAUUCAGCACGAAGACGUCUUGCGUCAGACUACCAAGCCUCCUAUCAAUAUCUUCUCCCAUGUUGGCUACAUCAACACUUCCAACAGCAGAGCCUUGGUGAGUUCGACUUCCGUCUCAGCAUCGAUGUCGCUUAGCAACAAUUGGAUGAUGGGCGUCGACAAAUUAGGCCGGACAAGUCGCUCGAACUGAAACGAUCUGAUCCAACAGGUAGAGCAGGCGUUGUGUGACACGUCCGUUAAUGUGACUGACCUCGAUAUGUUGUUCUCGAAUAAUGUGAACCAUAGGCCUGGAGAGCAGUAUGCGAUUGACGCCAUUCAACAAAAGUUGUUGUUGGAAUUCUCUGGUUUGGGGUGGCGACUUCGGCGUCGGGACUCACUCCAUCACUGUCUAUGGCCCAGUCGCAGCAGCAGCAACAAGAACAAUAAGUAGUAUCGUAGCGGUGUUCUGGGAUAUGAGGCUUCAUAGCCGGUUCCUACAGGAUCCCAUGCAAUAGAUCGGUACCCAGCUGAACAACAGGCUGUCUGGUAAGCUGGGCCCGGAUAGGUGCAGCCAGUCUAAAGCUGGGGCUCCAAUCUUUCCUGCCAAGUGGGCUGAUAUUACCUCUUCUACAAGGGACAUAUGUCAGUGAUGUGCAAAGAGCUGGUUUUCUGUUCACAGAGAAAAAUCCUAACAACUCCAACUCCGCCACUACAUCUCGAUAGACAACCCGAAUAUCAAGGCGUUAAGUUUGUUCUGGAUGCAGUUACAGUCACAGCUUUCAAGCCAGCAGCUGUCGAUGUAUUGAGAGUCUCUCCUCUCCAUGUUAUCUGACCUGCUGCCUGUGAACAUCCUUCACAUAGAACCUUUAUCCCAUUCGAUGUAAUUAAACCGGCCAAUCAAAAAGACAGCCUGAAAUAUUCCUCAUCUUGAAAUAUUGGGAAGGCAGGAAAACGCCUGUCACUGUUAAGAUAAAAAUGAGGAAAUGACCAGUAAGACCAGUUAAGUCCUGUGAUCAGCCAAGUCCUGUGGCCAGACAUGUCUUGUGGCCAGCCAAGUCCUGUGAUCAGACAAGUCAUGUGGCC